UGGGGAAUAUUGCACAAUGGGCGCAAGCCUGAUGCAGCCAUGCCGCGUGUAUGAAGAAGGCCUUCGGGUUGUAAAGUACUUUCAGCGGGGAGGAAGGCGAUAAGGUUAAUAACCUUGUCGAUUGACGUUACCCGCAGAAGAAGCACCGGCUAACUCCGUGCCAGCAGCCGCGGUAAUACGGAGGGUGCAAGCGUUGAUCGGAAUUACUGGGCGUAAAGCGCACGCAGGCGGUCUGUCAAGUCGGAUGUGAAAUCCCCGGGCUCAACCUGGGAACUGCAUUCGAAACUGGCAGGCUAGAGUCUUGUAGAGGGGGGUAGAAUUCCAGGUGUAGCGGUGAAAUGCGUAGAGAUCUGGAGGAAUACCGGUGGCGAAGGCGGCCCCCUGGACAAAGACUGACGCUCAGGUGCGAAAGCGUGGGGAGCAAACA
rnacentral:rRNA from 1 species